rnacentral:rRNA from 1 species
AUUGAACGCUGGCGGCAGGCCUAACACAUGCAAGUCGAACGAGUGGCGGACGGGUGAGUAAUGUCUGGGAAACUGCCCGAUGGAGGGGGCUAACUACUGGAAACGGUAGCUAAUAACGCAUACCAUCGGAUGUGCCAAGAUGGGAUUAGUUAGUAGGGGGGGUAACGGCUCACCUCGGCGACGAUCCCUAGCUGGUUUGAGAGGAGGACCAGCCACACUGGAACUGGGACACGGUCCAGACUCCUACUGGAGGCAGUAGGGGGGAAUAUUGCACAAUGUGCGCAAGCCGGAUGCAGCCAUGCCGCGUGUAUGAAGAAGGCCUUCGGGUUGUAAAGUACUUUCAGCGAGGAGGCGUUACUCGCAGAAGAAGCAUCGGCUAACUCCGUGCCAGCAGCCGCGGUAAUA